rnacentral:lncRNA from 1 species
GGUGGUUUCGUGUUCUGCCGUCCGAUAGUGGUGGCGAUCUGGAUGGAUUCAAGUGAGGCUGGCUUUGUGUGUCUGCCCAUGGCGUGACAAGGACCAAGGAGCAAUAACUUACCGAGGCUGUCGCGGCCACAGCUGACUGAUUCAGGACAGC